ensembl:snRNA U4 U4 spliceosomal RNA
AUUCUUGCGCCGUGGCAGUAUCCUAGCUUAUGAGGUUUAUCUGAGGUGCGAUUAUUGCUAAUUGAAAACUUUACCCAAUACCCUGCCGUGAUGACUUGAGAUAUAGUCGGCACUGGCAAUUUUUGACAGUCUCCCAGGAGG